AGGAAACCAAGAAUGAAGUGGCAGAUAUGGGCCAUCAUCUUUGAGGGUGUGAAAGAAGAUUGGAGACCCUAUCUUGGUGGUCUUCUUUAGCUUGGACCAUGUGGGUCUCACUCCAUAAUGGUGUGAAAGCCACCUCAAGGCAGGGUAGGGUGCUGCAACCUUAGCUCUGCUGCCAUAAACCCAGGAGCAGAGGACCACAGAGGAGGAAGUCCUGCCUAGAGGAACAGAAUGGACUGGUGGCGGCGAGCUUUGAGAUCACACCUCAAACCCAGGAACCUGUUAUGACUGGGUUAUCUCCUUCCUCUCAGCGGGAGCUGGAACAACUCUGAGUCGGCAUCCUGACUUUUGGCCCCUUUACAUGAAACCAUAUGUGGAGGAACUAGGUAAGAAUGGCUAUCAGACUCUGACCUGGAGUCUCUGUAGCCUCAUGCACUAUGAGACUGGGCUGGGGAGUCAUCAUGAGAACAUGAACCAUCAUCCAGUUGGCAAGGCACUGGGAAGGAACACAAAGGUCUGUGGAGACCCCUAGCCUGGCACCUGAGGAUGCUAGUAUUAAAGACUGAGUCUUACCAGUGUCCCAUGUUUUCAGUUCCCCCAUCCUUAUUCAUGAAAGAGAAGAGAGUCUCAGCCAAUUGUAGCAAAGUCCUGGGAGCACAGAGGUGUGCGAGAGACAUGUUCACAGUGGUGGGGGAGUCUGAGGGUGUCCAGGCUUUCCCUUGGAAUGUGACAAAAAGGAGGGUUUAAGGGUGGUUGGGAAGGCUGAGAGUCCUGGAAGGUCAGAGGUGGUAAUGGGCUCACUAAGGUGGGAGCUACCUUCCAGAAGGAAGAUGAGGGCCAGUGAGACACAUGAGGACAGGGACAGAUGCUGCGACAGAGCCUAUCACGGGGCUAGAAGUGGGCAUGGGGGAAGAAGAGCUCUGAACAAGAAGGCAUGAUCUGUGUCUUUAUUAUAGUGUUAAUUUACUUUUAUUUGUAUGAGUGUUUUGCCUGAAUGUAUGUCUGUGCACCACAUGCAUGCAAUGCCCACAGAGGCCAGAAGAUGGCGACGGAUCCCCUUGAGCUGGAGUUACAGAUGGAUGUGAGCUACCAUGUGGGUGCCUGGAACUGAACCUGGGUACUCUGCAAGAGCAGCCAGUGGUCUUAACCACUAAGCCAUCUCUCCAUUCUCCUAUUUAAUUAUUUAAAGAUUUCUUACAGGUAUAUACAAUAUAUUGGACAUAUUCUGUUCCCCCCAUUCUUCCUUCACUACCUCCUCCUGUAUUAGUACCCUCUGUUUCCCUAGACAAUUUCAUAUCUGCUUUCAUUUACUAUGUACAUACAUGAUUCGAUAUGUGGUUAAAUGACAUGCAGGAACCACCUAUGAGUUGUUUCUCAGUUGCAUAAAUUUCCCCACAAAUGAUACAACGUUGCUGUUCUUUAUGGCUGAAAAAGAUUCCCAGUGGAUACAUGACAUUUCUUUCUUACUCAUCCCUCUGUUGUCAGCUAUCUAGGUAGGCUCCUUGGCUUAGCCCUUGUGAAGUAUACUGUAGUAAACAUGGAUGUGUGGGUGUGUCUCUGUGACAUAUUAACUUGGAAAACUCUGAUUAAAUCCUUAGGAGUGGUGUAGCUGGCUGUACAUUGGACCUAAGAAGUGGAAAUUUCUUAUUUCAUUGUAAAGUCAGCUAUAUCAAACGAUGUUUUGCUGGGGAACACAGGCGAAAGGAAGUUUUGCUAAAGCAGACAUGUGAAAGAUGCAUGAUGCUUAGAAGGCAUAUAAAUGUGAUCCCACAGACAGUGGGAGCUUGAGCAUUGGUUCACUUUGCUCCACCUGGCUAUUCUUCACUGACAGACGUGCAUGCAUGUAUUGGUUCACCUUAUAUUGCAUUGCUGAGCUCCGCCUGUGGUGGCGCCAUAGAGAGAAAUUUGCCAAAGAACUUCUCCGUGAGGUUCCUGCUGCUUCCUCAAGCUGGUUGGUGAGCCUUGUGGUUUCUUCUGGAUUGAACUGCCCUUGCUGGUUCACAUGUGGUGACUGCCAAGUGGACUGGACUGCAGCUGCUGAUUCCUGUUUGGUGUUUUCUACUGAACUGAAACUGCUGAUAUCCUGACAAUGAAAAUUGGACUUGUCCCCAAAGAGCUAUUUGUAAACAGGUCUACUUCCACACCAUGUCCUAAUAACUUUUAUCUUCCACCAAUGUUGGUGGGUGGUGGCUUAGAGAGGAGGUUGAAUGUUUA
rnacentral:lncRNA from 1 species